rfam:Schistosoma rodhaini strain Burundi genome assembly, scaffold: SROB_scaffold0000089
AUCCAGAUGACGAGUUCCAUAUAGGACGAAACGCGCUUCAAAUUGGAU